rnacentral:rRNA from 1 species
CGCAUCUGUGCAUGCAGCAUAUCAAUAAGCGGAGGAAAAGAAACUAACAAGGAUUCCCCUAGUAACGGCGAGUGAAGCGGGAAGAGCUCAAAUUUGAAAUCUUAAAGGGUUUCCCUUUACGAAUUGUAGUUUAAAGAAGUGUUUUCUGUUGAGGUUUUGGUAAAAGUUCUUUGGAAUAGGACAUCAUAGAGGGUGAGAAUCCCGUAUUUGACCUUUACUUUCAACUUUGUGAUACACUUUCAAAGAGUCGGAUUGUUUGGGAAUGCAGUCCAAAAUGGGUGGUAAAUUUCAUCUAAAGCUAAAUAUUGGCGAGAGACCGAUAGCGAACAAGUACCGUGAGGGAAAGAUGAAAAGAACUUUGAAAAGAGAGUUAAACAGUACGUGAAAUUGUCAAAAGGGAAGCGUUUGACACCAGUGUUGUUUUUCUGAAAAUCAAUUAAAGAACUGUUUAUGCUAAGUUGUUUAGACUUUAUCAGCUAACUGUUUAGUUUUGAGCUUUUCUUUAAUGCACUUUUCAGUUAACAAGUCAACAUCAAUUUCUUUUGCUGUAAAAAUGCUUGAGGAAGGUGGCUUGAGAUUCGUCUUAAGUGUUUAUAGCCUCUUGCCUAUGCAGUCGGAGAGAUUGAGGUCUGCAGCGCAGAUCCUUCGGGGCUAAAUGCAUUUGUGCUAAGUUAUAGCAUUUCAUAGACAACUUGUUGACUAUGAUUUGUCUUGUAGCUUACUCGCUUAUGUUAUUUUACCUACGCUUAGGAUGUUGACAGCAGUAUAGACUGU